UGACCUCAGGUGAUCCACCCACUGCCAAAGUGCUGGGAUUACAGGUAUGAGUCACUGUGCCUGGCCUCAAACCUUACUACUCCUUUGAUGCAGGUGUUCAUUGCUAUAAACUUGAUUCCUAUUACAGUUUUUGCUAUAUAUCCACAGGUUUUGGUAUGUUGUGUUUACACUUUCAUUUGUUUCAAGGCAUGUUUUGAUUUCCACCUUAAUUUCUUCAUUGAUCCAGUGGUUAUUCAGGAGUAUCUAAGUUUCUCUUUGUAUUGAUUUCUGGUUUUAUUCCAUUGCGGUCUGAGAAGAUAUUUCAUACGAUUUUGAUUUUUAGAAAUUUGAUGAGUCUCGUUUUGUGGCAUAACAUAUGGUCUAUCCUGGAGAAUGUUCCAUGUGCUAAUGAGAAUAAUAUGUAUUCUUUCUAUGGCCAUAUCACCUUCAAUGCAUCCGAUCUUGUUUGAUCUCGGAGAAUACUGUAUAUUCUGCAGUUGUUGGAUAAAAUGUCCUAAAAAUGUCAAGUCUAUUAGGUUUAAGGUCUAGUUUAAAUCUGGUGUUACUUUAAUGAAUUUCUAUCUAGAUGAUCAAAUGCUGAGAGUGAGAUGUUGAAGUCUCUCACUGUUACAGUCUUGGAGUCUAUUUAGAACUUGUAAUGUUUGCUUUAUAAAUCUGGAUGCUCCAGUUUUAACAUACUAAAAAUUGUUAAGUAUUCUUGUUGUGUUAAUCUCUUUAUAAUUAUGUAAUGACCUUUGUCUUUAUGACUUUAAUAUUACGGUGUGACCCUUUGUUCUUGUCAUAGUGUUGAUUGUUUUUGGGUGGUUUUGUUACAUUAUUGUUUCUUUCAUUUUCUCUUGUUGUUUGUCUUUGUGGUUUGGUAGUUUUCUGUAGCAGUGUUAUUUGAUUAUUUUAUCUUCAUCAUACGCUUGUUUGUUUUACCAGUGAGACUUACACUUUUGUGUGUUUUCUUGAUGGUAAAUGUUGUUCGUUAACAUUUAGUUUUAGGACUCCCUUAAGCAUUGUGUGUGUGUGUGUGUGUGUGUGUGUGUGUGUGUGUGUGUGUGUGUAGAACAGAUCUGGUGGUGAUAGAUUGUUUUAGCUUUUGCUUUUUUGGGAAACAUUUUAUUUCUCCUCCAUUUGUCAAUGAUAAUUUUACUGAAUAUGGUGUCGUUGACUAGCAUUUUUUUUUUUUUUUUUUUUUUUCUU